UAAGGAAUAUUGGACAAUGGACGGAAGUCUGAUCCAGCCAUGCCGCGUGAAGGAUGAAGGCGCUCAGCGUUGUAAACUUCUUUUGAAUGGGAACAAACCUCCCGAUGCGUUGGGAGCUGAGGGUACCAUUAGAAUAAGCACCGGCUAACUCCGUGCCAGCAGCCGCGGUAAUACGGAGGGUGCAAGCGUUAUCCGGAAUCACUGGGUUUAAAGGGUGCGUAGGCGGUUGCGUAAGUCAGUCGUGAAAUUCCCCGGCUUAACCGGGGGCGUGCGAUUGAUACUGCGUAACUUGAAUAGGGUUGAGGUAGGCGGAAUGCGACAUGUAGCGGUGAAAUGCAUAGAUAUGUCGUAGAACACCGAUUGCGAAGGCAGCUUGCUGGACCUUAAUUGACGCUGAGGCACGAAAGCGUGGGGAGCAAACAGG
rnacentral:rRNA from 1 species